GCACCUUUAAAGUUAAACCGUUACUAAACGAAUUUUUCGCAAAAAUGAGUUAUCAACGCCAUCUUACUAAAGGACACGUAAACUACAAGAUCAAAUAGACCACUUCUUCAAAAUUGCCUUCUAACGCCAUCUAGCGUUAAAGCAUAACGUUACUAAGCCAAACUUUGAACGGCUCGCUAAAUACAAUAACGGGUCUAUGCAAGUAAGAACGUGUUUGUUGCGGAGUGAUGACGAAAGUUUAAAUUCAUAGUGUGAUUAUUUGGAUAGUAACGGCCGUUCGUCACAAAAAAAGGUGAUGUCGUAUUUCCGGAACCCAUGUUUGGCUCGCAUUAUGGAAGCUGUGGACGCUGAAAAAGAUUCCUCAUGUUUCGAAGAACCCAAGCAAAUAUCUAUGGACGAACUUAAUAUAAUUUUAACUAUAAUUUUACACAAGAUGCAAAUCCGAUACGUCAUUCCGAUCCGCGGCUUGCGCCAGUUCUCGUUCGCUGUAAAUUCGGAGAAUUCACAACUUUUCCCGGUCUACAUGUAAGACCGCACACUUGUCUACACCAAACUCCAUCCUGAUGGCGUUGCUAAAUACCUGUGUGGUUUUUAGCAACUUCACCAGGUCUUGUCGUUUUGUUGCGAACAACUUGAGAUCAUCCAUGUAGAGCAGGUGACUAAUGACCUCACCCCCUCUUCGUAGCCGAUAACUAAGCCCUGAAUCCUUUAACAGAGUGCGAAGAGGAUUCAGUGCUAGGCAGAACCACAAGGGACUCAAACUGUCACCCUGGAAAUGCCUCGCUCAAUCCUUAUGAACUUCAAUGGAUCAGGAGACCUCUCACCACCACCUGGCUGCCGAAGGACUGUAGUCCACUGCCCCAUGCAUGAGCAUGAGCGUAAAAAGGAUCUCAUUGCAUCUACCUUAUACAACUCUAAGAUCCUCUCCCGCCAUGAUUGAGGCACCGAAUCAUAGGCCUUCUUAUAGUCAAUCCAGGCAGCAGAGAGAGCUUUCCUGCUCCACCGAACUUGUUGGCUAAUGGUUAUGUCUAUGAGGAGGAGCUCUUUAGUACCACGAGACUCAAUCUUACAUCCAUUCUGAGCAGUGGCCACAAAAUAUUGUUCAUUAUUUUUAUUAUUAAGUGAUUUAAGGUAGGUAUGUGAACAACCUUUCGAGGGUAGGGAAAUAAUGCUGAGAUUGUUACUUGAGUUUAAUAUAUUUUUUAUGUAUUUUUUGUAAUUGCUAGGUGUGUUUUUUUCUUAUUCGUUAUCAGUUAUACUUCCUAUGAUUUAAAGGUACAAAAUGUCUUAAGACUGAUUAAUAAAUAACUAGGCUAAAUGCUUGUAUGGAUAUCUUUAAUUUGUAAUAAAAUAUUGUUGAUUUCGAA